UACGGAGGAUGCGAGCGUUAUCCGGAUUUAUUGGGUUUAAAGGGUGCGUAGGCGGGCUGUUAAGUCAGCGGUAAAAGCCCGGGGCUCAACCCCGGCGAGCCGUUGAAACUGGCUGUCUUGAGAUGUCGAGAGGUAUGCGGAAUGCGCAGUGUAGCGGUGAAAUGCUUAGAUAUUGCGCAGAUCUCCGAUUGCGAAGGCAGCAUACCGGCGGCGAUCUGACGCUGAGGCACGAAAGCGUGGGUAUCGAACAGG
rnacentral:rRNA from 1 species